CACUUUCUCCAUCCCAGUAACUGAUCUCCUUAUAGUUCCUCAAACACAGCAAGCCUCUUUCCAAUGCCAGAAUCUUUCCACAUGCUGUUCCCUGGAACAUCUUUCAUGCCAAUAUCACUUGUCUAGUUUUCAGUCUAUUUUUGGCCUUAGCUUAAAUGUUGCCCCCUCAAGAGGCCUUACCUGACCACCUUUUCUAAAGAAGUGCCAACUCUUUAUUUUCUAUCUGAGCCUUUAGUUUCUUUCCUAGUUAGUACUUACUACAACAUACAACUAUUUUAUUUGUAUGCUUACUCAUUUUUCGCCUCUUCUCCUGACAAAACAUUAGCUCCAUAAUAACAUAAACCAUGUCCCUUUCCUGGUCACUGUAUCCCUAGCACCAAGAACAGUGCUUGGUACUUCAUAGGAGAUACUCAAUAAGCAACUGUUGAAGCAACUGUUGAAUGAAUUAGUGAAUGAAUGGAUGAGCCCACUUGUUCAGAAAGCUUUGUAUAACCAAAAAAUAGUAUCCUGUAUAAUUCAAUGAAAUAUAAAAAGAGACAAUAUCAGAUGCUAUUGCCAGUCCUGCAUUGGCAACCUCUGCUUGCAGAAAUGUAUAACAGUCAAUUAAUUUAUCUCUCGUUUCUGUAGCACAUAAAAUAUCAUCAAUAUAAUGAAUAAUAUAACAGUCUGAAAACUUGUCUCUAACUGGUUGAAGAGCUCGACCUACAAAAGUCUGACAAAUAGUUGGACUAUUAAGCAUUCCCUGAGGUAACACUUUCCACUGAAACCUGGUGGCUGGUUCUUUAUUAUUUAUGGCUGGUAUAGUAAAGGCAAAUUUUUCGCAAUCCUGCUCCGCCAGAGGGAUGGUAAAAAAGCAAUCCUUUAGAUCAAUUAUAAUUAAAGGCCAAUC
rnacentral:lncRNA from 1 species